rnacentral:rRNA from 1 species
UACGGGGGGAGCAAGCGUUGUUCGGAUUUACUGGGCGUAAAGGGCGCGUAGGCGGUCAGCACAAGUCAGUUGUGAAAUCUCCGGGCUUAACUCGGAAAGGUCAACUGAUACUGUGCGACUAGAGUGCAGAAGGGGCAACUGGAAUUCUCGGUGUAGCGGUGAAAUGCGUAGAUAUCGAGAGGAACACCUGCGGCGAAGGCAGGUUGCUGGGCUGACACUGACGCUGAUGCGCGAAAGCCAGGGAGCGAAGCGGG